UUCUAAGGGCGUUGAAGCAUGAUCGUAAGGACAUGUGGAGCGCUUAGAAGUGAGAAUGCCGGUGUGAGUAGCGAAAGAUGGGUGAGAAUCCCGUCCACCGAUUGACUAAGGUUUCCAGAGGAAGGCUCGUCCGCUCUGGGUUAGUCGGGUCCUAAGCUGAGGCCGACAGGCGUAGGCGAUGGAUAACAGGUUGAUAUUCCUGUACCACCUAUAAUCGUUUUAAUCGAUGGGGGGACGCAGUAGGAUAGGCGAAGCGUGCGAUUGGAUUGCACGUCUAAGCAGUAAGGCUGAGUAUUAGGCAAAUCCGGUACUCGUUAAGGCUGAGCUGUGAUGGGGAGAAGACAUUGUGUCUUCGAGUCGUUGAUUUCACACUGCCGAGAAAAGCCUCUAGAUAGAAAAUAGGUGCCCGUACCGCAAACCGACACAGGUAGUCAAGAUGAGAAUUCUAAGGUGAGCGAGCGAACUCUCGUUAAGGAACUCGGCAAAAUGACCCCGUAACUUCGGGAGAAGGGGUGCUCUUUAGGGUUAACGCCCAGAAGAGCCGCAGUGAAUAGGCCCAAGCGACUGUUUAUCAAAAACACAGGUCUCUGCUAAACCGUAAGGUGAUGUAUAGGGGCUGACGCCUGCCCGGUGCUGGAAGGUUAAGAGGAGUGGUUAGCUUCUGCGAAGCUACGAAUCGAAGCCCCAGUAAACGGCGGCCGUAACUAUAACGGUCCUAAGGUAGCGAAAUUCCUUGUCGGGUAAGUUCCGACCCGCACGAAAGGCGUAACGAUUUGGGCACUGUCUCAACGAGAGACUCGGUGAAAUCAUAGUACCUGUGAAGAUGCAGGUUACCCGCGACAGGACGGAAAGACCCCGUGGAGCUUUACUGUAGCCUGAUAUUGAAAUUCGGCACAGCUUGUACAGGAUAGGUA
rnacentral:rRNA from 1 species